CCUCUACAAGUGUGACAUCAGCGGUCAUGGAGAGUCUCCAUCCAGCUGGAUCACUGUCACAGGAAAUCCUACAACCACACCUCCACCUACCUCUACACCACCUCCCACUCCAUCAACUCCACGUCCUGACUUGUUAUCACUCAGGCUUGUAUUUAUCCACAUGGUGGUGUUCUGCCCAUACUUUAUCUCCACUCUCCUCAUGGUGUCUUUAUGUCGACAGAGAACCAAAGGAAAAAACAUUUGUGUGUCAAUCCAGUCCACUCAUCCUGAUCAGGGACUGGAUGAGCAUUAUGAUGUAAUCACUGAUGUCACCACAGAGUAUCACUUCUGAAUCAGAGCUCUGUUGUGUCUCUGUGAGUCUCACCAUCUUUGUCCUCUCCAUCUCUGAUCUGAGAUUAUUUGAAUAAAUAGAGUCUGAUGUUCAUCUCUCAACAAUUUUUCUGUAAAUAACCAGCAAAUAUUCCUGCUCAGAGUAGAAGAUCCAUCAUGUACUGUAUGUGCACCACUGCAGCUCUGUCACUAAGUAUUGUACAAACCAUUAAAUGUAUUUAUUUUU